AAAAGCAAAUUGUAACGUGGUAACUACUGGACUUGGACUGGAUGUUUGGCCAGGUCAUAUUUUUGUAAAACUGAACUAAACCACACACGGGAGCUCAUAAUUCAUCAACCCUAGGGUAACCGAUGGACAAUCUAACCAUUUCUAUUACAUACAUCAUGCCGGGAAGGUCUUGCAUAAGAAAACAACACUCCGCACAUUGAAUGACCAUCGUAGAAACCCACCUAAAAUAAAUUUUAAAAUCGGAAUCCUGAUUUACAAGACUACAGUGUCGAC